CAGCAGCCGCGGGAAUACAGAGGGUGCAAGCGUUAAUCGGAAUUACUGGGCGUAAAGCGCGCGUAGGUGGUUCGCCAAGUUGGAUGUGAAAUCCCCGGGCUCAACCUGGGAACUGCAUUGGUGACUGCAACGCUGGAGUGCGGCAGAGGGGGAUGGAAUUCCGCGUGUAGCAGUGAAAUGCGUAGAUAUGCGGAGGAACACCGAUGGCGAAGGCAAUCCCCUGGGCCUGCACUGACGCUCAUGCACGAAAGCGUGGGGAGCAAACAGGAUUAGAUACCCGAGUAGUCCCUGUCUCUUAUAC
rnacentral:rRNA from 1 species